UAAAUACACAAACGCUUACACACACUAAAACUCAGCACAGUUACUGACACUGGAAUAGAGUGAUAAGCGGCUAUGGUGUUCCACAUAGGCAGUACAAACACACGCGUGCGCGAAACGCUACUGCUCCAUGCGCUUUAGGAUUUACCACAGCAGGGCAAUCAUAUUCUCUUAGCGGCGUAUAAGAGCUAAUGGAUCAGCGGAUCUAGGCCAGGAGCGACAAUUUGAUUAUGAGAGGCGGCCCGCGCAAGUGUAACUCUGGCAAAAGACUAAUAUCAUGAAGUUCGAAUCCCUCAGUCCUCGCCGACGCUUGCUGCACAGUUCAGGUGAGCGUUUGCAUUUCGCUGCGCAUAGAUAAACCAUAUGCGAUAACUAUCGUACUAGACGCUCGCGUUGGUGGCAUGGCAGCCAUGGACAUGGCAUGGCAUUCGCUCUGAGCUCUCGAUGAAUACACAUAAACUAUACUAACUUAUCUUUUAGCUGAUAACAAGGAAAAAAAAACCGUGAGAACAACACUUGACACACGUACAUGUCUAUAAUAAAAAAUAUUCACAUGUAUGGAUAAGGCAAGUCGUCACCGAAUGACUAUGCGACUGGUGAUAAGUCAAUGAAAGGUGAAAGCCGCUGCGCGCGCUAUACACGUAUAUAAACACAUAUAUGUCGGUAUGAUUAUCCUUGUAUUCAAAUUGUGUGGUUUUUUUUUCGUUUCUUGUAUUUUAUACGUGCUUAGGGCUAUGCUCUAUCUAAAACAAGAUGCUAUUGUACAACAUUGUCACUGAUUUCUGUUCUGUUUCGGAAUUAGUUUGCCCCUUUCGUUGCGUUUGAGUUUCGUAUCGUAAGGAGCUCUCUCAAUCGUUUUCUCGCGGCGGACGCACUAAGGAAUGUCGCUUGAUCGCCUCCACCAGCCAUUUGAUGCCCUCGUCAACGCCUUCGCCGGUGAGCGCAGAGACGGGUAUCGUAAGGCAAUCGCGUCGUCCGAUCAGUGCACCAGCCUGUUGGAAUACUGGCUUUAUUUCCCGUACGCCCAUCACAUCGGGCAGAUCCUGCUUGUUGGCCAGUAUUAGCAGUGGCACGCCUGAGAGUAACUCGUUCUUAAUCAUUUUGUC